CUUUAAAUAGCAGCCGUUUUUUUCACUCUCUCCCGCCUGCCACAGCCGUGAGGAGAAGUAUGCCAACAUCCCCAGAGAAGCCCAGGGGACACAGUUACCAUAACCUGCGGUAUAUCCCGCUUUUAAUAUAGGAUCAUGUUGUGUUGAUUAACUCCAUUUAUAGGGCAUCGGCGAUCUGAAAAUUAGCACCCCCAUAACAUAUGGGGUCUGACUGUUGCUGUGAGAUUGGCCAUUCGUCCCUGGCAGUAAUAUACGUGAUACUACCACACUUGUCACACACAUGAUGCUCUGGGGUUGUCUAGUACAGUUUGUUUGCUUAUGAUUGAAUAAGUACUAAUUCAGAGGGUGGUGGCUGUCACUAUAGUACACUAACCUGGACAUUAUGCUCAUAUUCCCUUAAUGAUUUCUCCCCUGAGGAAAUCGCCACCAAUUGGCGACAGAAACGCAUUGGGUGGUUGUAGGGGCAUCGUAGUGAGCCUUUAGAUCAGUUUGAUGCACUCUACAUGUUGCACAUUGAUCUGAUCAGUAAAUAAACUGCUAUAUUUGGAUAAAAUUGUGGAUGAUAGCAGUUGGAGGGAUGUCUUAGUACUCCCUAUAUGGUUUUAGUGGUGCUGAUUGUGGAACACUGCACUUCUA